AGCAGCCGCGGUAAUUCCAGCUCCAAUAGCGUAUAUUAAAGUUGUUGCAGUUAAAAAGCUCGUAGUUGAAUUUCGGGAUCAGUAGGUUGGUCAUGCCUCCGGUAUGUACUGGUCUCACUGGUUCCUCCUUCCUGAUGAACCGUAAUGCCAUUAAUUUGGUGUUGCGGGGAGACUGGACUGUUACUUUGAAAAAAUUAGAGUGUUUAAAGCAGGCUUACGCUUGAAUACAUUAGCAUGGAAUAAUGAAAUAGGACGUUCGAUCCUAUUUUGUUGGUUUCUAGGAUUGACGUAAUGAUUAAUAGGGAUAGUUGGGGGCAUUAGUAUUCAAUUGUCAGAGGUGAAAUUCUUGGAUUUAUUGAAGACUAACUACUGCGAAAGCAUUUGCCAAGGAUGUUUUCAUUAAUCAAGAACGAAAGUUAGGGGAUCGAAGACGAUCAGAUACCGUCGUAGUCUUAACCAUAAACUAUGCCGACUAGGGAUCGGAUGAUGUUAAUUUUUUAAUGACUCAUUCGGCGCCUUACG
rnacentral:rRNA from 1 species